UUUUCUUCGCAUUUACGUUGUUCUAUUGAUGAUUUGAUUCAAUGAAUUUGUUCAAGUUUUUAUGGUCAUCCGAUGAUUUAUGGUCAUCGUCGGAUGAUGAUCUCGAAGAGCUUCUAAUGUUGUAUCUUGCAUCAACAGAAUUGAAGAGAAAGAAAAGAUCAACCUCGCGUGGUUACAAUAAAACGAAUCGAUCCCGCUCGAAACGACGAUCAACCUACUCUAACGAUAUGGAUGUGGGGUACUGCUAUCUAGACGGCAAUGCAGAUGCAGUAGAAUUUUGUCCGCAUGACUCGUAUCACCAUGUCCUAGCAGCUGCCGCAUACACUCUUAAAGAAGGGGACCAGCCCAGUCGGUCAGGGAGCAUUUCUCUGUUCAAUGUUGAUGCUGAUGCUGGCCGCUUCGAUUUGUUUCAUCGAGUUGACACUGCGGGUGUCUUUGAUAUUAAGUGGAGUCCCGUUGGAGGAUAUCAUUCCCAUCCUCUGCUUGCUCGGGCUGAUGCUGAUGGUUGCUUGAGGAUUCAUAGCUUUGAUGGGUGCACUAUAAGAGAAAUAAGUGGUGAAAAGAUCAGUUCCUCCAUGUGCCUUUGCCUGGACUGGAACCCCUCAGCCACAUCCAUCUCAGUGGGGCAUUCAGAUGGUUCUGUCUCGAUAGUUUCCCUUGCAGAUUCCCAACUCAAAAAGCUUCAAGAAUGGAAGGCACAUGAUUUUGAGGUUUGGGCAACUUCAUUCGAUAUCCACCAUCCAAAUUUGGUAUAUACUGGCGCAGAUGAUUGCAAAUUCAGUUGUUGGGACACACGUGACAGUCCAUCCAAGUUGGCGUUCCAGAACUCCAAGGUCCACGAGAUGGGUGUUUGUUGUAUUGCAAAGAGCCCUAGUGAUCCAAAUAUCGUACUUACUGGCAGUUACGAUGAGAAUCUUAGGGUUUGGGAUGUGAGGUCAAUCUCAAAACCAAUAAACGAGGCUUCGAUAAGUUUAGGGGGCGGAGUUUGGCGAAUCAAGUACCACCCUGUUGUACGAGACCUGGUUUUGGCAGCUUGUAUGCAUAAUGGGUUUGCCGUUGUCAAGGCUAAUGGUGAGAAAGCUGAAGUGGUUGAAACUUACAGUAAAAAUAAACAUGGCUCGCUGGCGUAUGGAGCUGAUUGGCAGAGGCGGGAAUCUCUUCAAGACAGCAAAAGGAAGAGGAGUGUGGUAGCUACUUGCUCAUUUUAUGACCGUCUUGUUCGCAUAUGGAUGCCAAAAUAUGUUGAUGAUGAUGGUAAAUGACUUUGUGCACUUAUGGAAGGUUGCCUAGGUUGAUUGCAAAGAUUCUAUGAUGUUGCUUUUGGGUGCUCGUUCAUACCAUAUCAGGUCGCCAUGAGUAGGACUUCGGCCAUAACAUAAGCGACAGAUCCAAUACGUACUCCUACAAGUAAAGGGGGUUCGAAGGGAUAUGAAUUGCGUUCGAAAGGUUAUGAAUCGAUUGACAAGCCAAACCCCAAUAUCUUGAUUUCUAAUGGCAAUGCAUCAGGAACCCAUAUAGAUAUACUCUGCUGAUACACGACCAAUUAAUGUUGAAGCAGGGUUAGGAACAACGAAUCUCUUUAUGAUAAACAGAUUCAUUUUGCAAGUUCGUUAUUACGGGUAGUUCUCACAAAGGAUCGGAUUGAUGACGUAUACAAUUCUUGAACAUAUGAAGCAUCAUUUAUGAUUUGUCAGGCU